rnacentral:rRNA from 1 species
GAUUAAGUUAUUAAGGGCGCACGGUGGAUGCCUUGGCACUAGAAGCCGAUGAAGGACGUUACUAACGACGAUAUGCUUUGGGGAGCUGUAAGUAAGCUUUGAUCCAGAGAUUUCCGAAUGGGGAAACCCAACAUGAGUUAUGUCAUGUUAUCGAUAUGUGAAUACAUAGCAUAUCAGAAGGCACACCCGGAGAACUGAAACAUCUUAGUACCCGGAGGAAGAGAAAGAAAAUUCGAUUCCCUUAGUAGCGGCGAGCGAAACGGGAAGAGCCCAAACCAACAAGCUUGCUUGUUGGGGUUGUAGGACACUCUAUACGGAGUUACAAAGGACGACAUUAGACGAAUCAUCUGGAAAGAUGAAUCAAAGAAGGUAAU